UUGGGUAAUCAAACUAUGGUCACCCGAGGCGAACACCCAAUGGAAAACUUUAGCUUGCCGUGAUAGUGAUACUGUGCGGUGCCUCUCAGGUUACUGUUAUCAGGAAUGCUGUGUCAUUGGCUUCAGUGCGCUCACAUCAUAGGAACAACAGGGCUGCAGUGCAAAAUUGAACUGGUAAAGGGUGGGGGGGAAAAGCAACAGAGGCACCAUGUUGUGACUAAUCAUCUCUGUGGUGAGAAACACCGCAGAGUUGAUCUCUUCUUGCUGCUGCACGAGGGAGCUGAAGCCUGCAGCUGCAGCACCGGGAUGAUUCAACCGGAGUAAAGGACAACAAGUGUGGACGGUCUCAAAGGACAAAACCACACUUGUCUCCUAAUUCUUCGACGACUACAACCAGUGUUUGUUCCAAUGAUGACUUUUCCGGAAACUUCUUCUCAGGAAGUCGGAUCAUGUCUGACAACUGACAAACACUUUUCACU